AUGCGGAGGGUGCAAGCGUUACUCGGAAUCACUGGGCGUAAAGCGCGCGCAGGCGGUCUUUUAAGUUGGAUGUGAAAGCCUACGGCUCAACCGUAGAACUGCAUCCAAAACUAUUAGACUAGAGUGUGGGAGAGGAAGAUGGAAUUAGUUGUGUAGGGGUAAAAUCCGUAGAGAUAACUAGGAAUACCAAAAGCGAAGGCAAUCUUCUGGAACACUACUGACGCUGAGGCGCGAAAGCGUGGGGAGCAAACAGGAUUAGAUACCCCAGUAGUCC
rnacentral:rRNA from 1 species